rnacentral:rRNA from 1 species
CCUACGGGGGGCAGCAGUGAGGAAUAUUGGUCAAUGGUCGGGAGACUGAACCAGCCAAGCCGCGUGAGGGAGGAAGGUACAGAGUAUCGUAAACCUCUUUUGUCAGGGAACAAAGGCGGGGACGUGUCCCCGGAUGAGUGUACCUGAAGAAAAAGCAUCGGCUAACUCCGUGCCAGCAGCCGCGGUAAUACGGAGGAUGCGAGCGUUAUCCGGAUUUAUUGGGUUUAAAGGGUGAGCAGGCGGUCUGUUAAGUCAGCGGUCAAAGCCCGGGGCUCAACCCCGGCCCGCCGUUGAAACUGGCAGUCGCGAGUUGGAGAGAAGUAUGCGGAAUGCGCGGGGUAGCGGUGAAAUGCAUAGAUAUCGCGCAGAACUCCGAUUGCGAAGGCAGCAUGCCGGCUCCACACUGACGCUGAGGCACGAAAGCGUGGGUAUCGAACAGGAUUAGAUACCCGAGUAGUC